UUCUUUUAAAAUAGGACGCCCAGCUACAACAUGGGAAAGACCCAGGGAAACCGAGUUAACGAUAAAAACCCUGAAAACCAUAAAUUUCACACGCGGCCCGGUACCAGAUGACUCAUGGACGCUGAUUUAAGCGACUUUCAUAUGAAAGAAAAAAACAGAGGCCACUACACAACAGAGAUAAGGACAGGACAAACCCAGCAGUGAUUACCUCUGAACAAAAGAAAGGGAACAAGGCAGAAAAAGAGGAAGAGUUGAAAAUCGUUGCCUCGUCCUAUUCGAAUGUCUUUUUCAUUACACUGGUGAGCAGAGGCCGGACAGAGGAGCUUACAGAAAGCAGGUCAGUGGGUAUUUAGGUGGACAGAUCAGAGUGGGGAGUGGCCAUAGACUGCAUCUCUUUGACUGUGCUAGUGAUGCUCUGGGGCAGCGUGGACAGUUGAGAACAUUGAUGUUGCUCGCUGUCGUUACUAAUCCAGCAUGUGCACGUUGUAAGACUACAUGUUUCCACUGUCACUGCAUGACACAGAAUGCCGUCCAGGAAAGUAAGGCCACGUCCUUAAAAAAGCCUUUAAUGCAAAGUCCUGUUUGGCCUCAAAAGGCCAUCUAUCAGCUAUAAUCCACCGUCUGCAUUAAACUCUCCCUUGUGUUUGACUUCACCACACUUUUUAACUCAGAUGUGAUCACUCUCACUCUCAUUGUUGAGUAACUGCCAGGGGAAAGAAAAAAUCAGCCCAGAUGGAGAAACAGUCCAGAGAAAUGGAACCAAAAGCUGGAGGCAAGAGGAGAUGUAAUAAAGGUCAUGCUAGACAAAUUAAGAGAAUGGGUUGGACUUAAGUGGAUAUGCAAGAAACAAGUCAAAUGGAGGGAUUGGUUUGCAAACAAGCACAAAUAAAAUAUUCGGCACAAAGAAGCAAAGAUGAGAGCUGAAAGGAGGACUGUGAUGCAACAAGUGCAGACACAAAAUGCAGACUAGUAGGAGACGGGACACAAGUAGAAUACAUGGUUAGAGAACAAUAGCUCAUUGUGCUGGAAAGCCUUGGACAGCAGAUAAAGUGGUUACAACAGCUGGCUCUUCACUAAGGACUGCCACACUAUUUCUAUACCUGGUUAUAUCAACUGGGCACAGAAGACAAGACUCAGAUAGGCUCGUAUGAGCACCUGCACACAGCGAGGAGACUGGUGCAAAGUUGUUAGCCAAUAUCUGUCUCGUCACAGUAACUGGGAGUUACCAAUGAACAAGAAAUCUCUUUCCAGGCUGUUUUCUACAUCCAAACAAUAAACAAAUAAAGGAAAUGUCUCCAUAUACUUCAAUCCAAUGUGACUCCAUCAACAGCUUUGUUUUAUCCAUUCUGAAAUCCAAAGAUGUCAUGAUUCUUUUGUGACGUAAAACAAGAAACAUCUAUGCAUUCUCUAAAUAGAAAACCUACUUUAUUGACUCUUCUUUUUUUGUAACAAAUGUAAAACCACAUUCACAGGAGGAAAAAAGAAACUGCUCUGAGUAUCGUCUGAAAUGGACCCUUAGCACAGAAUAAUGAUUUCCAAUUCAAUUUUAUUUUAUUUAGCGCCAAAUUACAACGACAGUCACCUCAAGGCACUUUUUAUUGUAAGGUGCAGAGCCAGCAACAAUAGAGGAAAAGAAACUAUCAGAUGAACCCCUUUGAGCAACACUUUGUGACACCGGGGAAGAAAAACUCAAUUUUCACAGGAAGAACCUCUGUGCUGAGGGAGGGGCAGCCAUCUGCCACUGGAAGCAGCCAGAGGCAAAUAUGAAGCCUCUUCAUCUUAGAACUCUGUCGCCUCCAUGAGCCAAAAAAACCUUUAAUAGUCAUCAGUUAAAGAAGUGCCAUGCAUGCAAUAUUUUCAAACAUAAAUGUUAGAAAUGACACAGUAAGAAUAGCAGAACUGUCUGACCAGAGCUGCAUCAGCAUGAAGGCCUAACACAGGAAUCCUUCCCAGAGGGAGGCUAACGGCUGAGGGCUAAUGUGCGUUUUACUGGUCGUGUUGUAUUAUGUCUUACUUUGUGUUAUAUUUCCUUAAAAUAUUAAUGCAGCCUCUGGGGGAGAGUACAUUCUGCUAAUGCCUAAUGGGUAUAAUU